AGUCGGAGAAGAGGAGGGCGACAAUUACGUCGAAAUUUCCUACUCACCGGUUUUACCGCAGUCGCCGGAAUAUUAGUGAGACUUCUCGAGCGAAAAAAUAUCCUCGGCUCACGAUCAUAUGAAGCAGCUAAAGUACAAAUUGGUGGUGGUGCUGUCCAGCCCUCAGACGCUCUCCCUUCGCCUUCACAAAGGGGAGAUCAUCAACUAGCGUCACCCCCGCGAUCCCGUCAGUCGACACCUGCACCGUCGCCGUCGACACCACCGACACCUCGUCAGGCUCAAAAUGAAGAUCAGGAGCAGGAUCAUCAGCAACAGGAGCAACGAUGUCGUCAGCACGAGGUCAAUAAUUUUAAUUAUAUAGAUUUGCGGGCGGAAAACUCGCGGCAAUUUAGGAAUUUCACGAUUCUAGGAAGAGAGGCGACUUUCGCGAUACGGCCGCCACCUGAAGGUAGCGAUAUCGCUCAAUGGCUAGAAAACGCGUUUCGUGAAAUUCGAACGUAUGCGGUACAUACGUGCGA